rnacentral:lncRNA from 1 species
GUAAAGGUGACAGUGUUUACCAGAGAGCCCUUCCCUGGGACAGAGGCCUGACCAACCAAGCAGUUAGCUUCCCAGCAACGCCCCGGGUCUGAAGGGAGGCCAGCUCUCUGCACUCAUUUGGGUGGCUUGUUUAUUUCCACACGUUCCUGGUUUAGUUAUCAUCACCACCUUUUGAUCGUCUCUUAAUGGGCACCGUAGAAGACACCUGUCCAUCUUACCAAGAAUAUUCACCAAAGGCCACGGAGCCAGCCUCGGCCAAGGUGAACCACUGGUAGAGCCAGUCCUACUCUCCAGCCACCCACCAUGUCUGUGAGUAAAAUGAACAGCCAAUA